rfam:Planctomycetes bacterium GWF2_41_51 gwf2_scaffold_6235, whole genome shotgun sequence.
GGGGCCAUAGCUCAGUUGGGAGAGCGCUUGCAUGGCAUGCAAGAGGCCGCAGGUUCGACUCCUGUUGGCUCCA